GCUGGGCAUGGUGGUGCAUGCCUGCAAUCCCAACUGAUUGGGAGGCUGAGGAAGGAAGAUCACAAAUUCAAAGCCAGCCUCAGCAAUUCAGUGAGAACCUGUCUCAA
rnacentral:sRNA from 1 species